GAUGAACGCUAGCGGCAUGCUUAACACAUGCAAGUCGAGGGGCAGCAUAAUGGAUAGCAAUAUCUAUGGUGGCGACCGGCGCACGGGUGCGUAACGCGUAUGCAACCUACCUUUAACAGGGGGAUAACACUGAGAAAUUGGUACUAAUACCCCAUAAUAUCAUAGAAGGCAUCUUUUAUGGUUGAAAAUUCCGAUGGUUAGAGAUGGGCAUGCGUUGUAUUAGCUAGUUGGUGGGGUAACGGCUCACCAAGGCGACGAUACAUAGGGGGACUGAGAGGUUAACCCCCCACAUUGGUACUGAGACACGGACCAGACUCCUACGGGAGGCAGCAGUGAGGAAUAUUGGUCAAUGGACGCAAGUCUGAACCAGCCAUGCCGCGUGCAGGAUGACGGCUCUAUGAGUUGUAAACUGCUUUUGUACGAGGGUAAACGCAGAUACGUGUAUCUGUCUGAAAGUAUCGUACGAAUAAGGAUCGGCUAACUCCGUG
rnacentral:rRNA from 1 species